GUCUGUGAUGCCCUUAGAUGUUCUGGGCCGCACGCGCGCUACACUGACAGAGCCAACGAGUAUGAACCUUGGCCGAAAGGUCUGGGUAAUCUUGUUAAACUCUGUCGUGCUGGGGAUAGAGCAUUGCAAUUAUUGCUCUUCAACGAGGAAUUCCUAGUAAGCGCAAGUCAUCAGCUUGCGUUGAUUACGUCCCUGCCCUUUGUACACACCGCCCGUCGCUACUACCGAUUGAAUGGCUCAGUGAGGCUUUCGGACUGGCUCAGGGAGGUCGGUAACGACCACCCAGAGCCGGAAAGUUAGUCAAACUUGGUCAUUUAGAGGAAGUAAAAGUCGUAACAAGGUUUCCGUAGGUGAACCUGCGGAAGGAUCAUUAUCCAAAGAUGCCCUUUAGAGGGAACUCCAUCUACCCAACCAGGGAGAUGUGGCCUUUCCCUGUGAACAAACUCCUUGCUUUGGCAGCAUCCUGCUCAUGGGAAGUCAUGAGCAUGUGUCAGCCUGCCAGUAGCUCCCAUGAAACUCCUAUUUUGAAAUGUCUGAUAAACAAGAAAGCAAAUUAAAAACUUUCAACAACGGAUCUCUUGGUUCUCGCAUCGAUGAAGAACGCAGCGAAACGCGAUAGGUAAUGUGAAUUGCAGAAUUUAGUGAAUCAUCGAAUCUUUGAACGCACAUUGCGCCCCUUGGUAGUCUGGGGGGCAUGUCUGUUCGAGCGUCAUAUCAUCAUCAAGUUCAUCAUUCAUCAAUGGUUGAUCUUGGUUUUGAGGUGUGGAGUGUUACUGCUUCAGCUCUAAAGUUGUAAGAUAUGCAGUCUGUGUUGAACCCUGAACAUGAUAACAUUCUUUUGUUUGUUUGGUGGUUCUUUAACACUGGACUAGCCUUUCAAUCUAGAAUUUUUGACCUCGGAUCAGACAAGGAUACCCGCUGAACUUAAGCAUAUCAAUAAGCGGAGGAAAAGAAACCAACAGGGAUUGCCUCAGUAACGGCGAGUGAAGCGGCAAGAGCUCAAAUUUGAAAUCUGUCACCUAUGGUGUCCGAAUUGUAAUUUGAAGAGGAGUCUUCAGCUGAGAUCAAGGCCCAUGUUCCUUGGAACAGGAUGUCAUAGAGGGUGAGAAUCCCGUACAUGGCUGGUGAUCUUUAGCUAUGUGAAACUCCUUCGAAGAGUCGAGUUGUUUGGGAAUGCAGCUCUAAAUGGGUGGUAAAUUUCAUCUAAGGCUAAAUACUGGCGAGAGACCGAUAGCGCACAAGUAGAGUGAUCGAAAGAUGAAAAGCACUUUGAAAAGAGAGUUAAACAGUACGUGAAAUUGUUGAAAGGGAAGCGCUUGCAACCAGACUUGCUCCUGAUCGAUCAACGUUCCUUUUGGUUCGUGCACUCGGUCAUCUGCAGGCCAGCAUCAGUUAUUGCGGUGGGACAAAGGUCUCAGGAAUGUGGCUCUCUUCGGGGAGUGUUAUAGCCUGAGGUGCAAUACCACCAGCGGUGACUGAGGACCGCGCUUCUGCUCGG
rnacentral:rRNA from 1 species